GGGUAUUUAGCUCAGCGGCAUAAGCGCCUGCCUUGCAAGCAGGCAGUCCUGAGUUUGAUCCCGGUACCCA
rnacentral:tRNA from 1 species